AAAAAGCAAGCUGAACAAAAGGUAAACGGUACAAUGUCCUCCAAAAGUAUGAUAACGGUAGAGUGAAAUUUGUAAUUUUUCUGCUGUUCACUUAAGGCAUUUGGAUUUAAGAUCAAACAAUGUAUCCGAGACAAAAACAAAACAGCUUUUAUUUCAUGGUAUUUGCAUGCGUAUGUUUUAACAUUUUACAGAAACAGCUAUUCUUGUGUCGAGUCCCUCCAUUUUCAGCUUAUGAGUUUUCAGUUUAUGAAAGAAUGACAAGUGUCUUGUCUCUACUAGCAAUCUGAGAAUGCAAUGCAGGUAAAUAUGUUUUUUAAAAAUUUUUUUUAGUUUUUUAAUUUUUUUUUUUUUUACCACCACUGCAAGGGCAAUCUAAGUUCAUAUAUAACUGCAAGAUGCUGAAGACCUAAACUGUGAUGCAAAUGUAUGAUGUAUUUACAUAUGGAAGUCGAAGUACACGGAUGGCUAUGAGAAAAAUGCAAAUUGCAGCUGGAGAGUAUGCCAGGAAUGUUCUGGUUACUCUAUCUUAAUUCCAUGGAUGAAUGCCUGCUUGAGCUGGGAUGGCUUAUAAGGCAAGAGCUUAACUGGGGCGAUUUCUUUGGCAUAAAGCAACUGGAAAUACUAUUUAUCACAUGGGCAUUAGACCAAACAUCUUUGUAAUGAGUUGUGUCAAGGAGCGAGACUGGAGCUUCCUCCUUCCCUUAGUCUGAGAGGUUGCUUGACUGGGGACUGUGAAAUCUGGGCUCAUAUUUAAACUACCUCAGAGGCUGUUGAACAGCUUCACUGAACUGCACAUUUACAGAAGGGAUCUAAUUCACAGCCAGCCAUUACCCAGAUGGACCAAAGAACAAAAAAGCUUGCAUUUGACCCAAAGGAUCUAAGAUGCUCUUAUGGGCUCUCUGGGCCCAAGAACCACAACCAAUGAAUACAUUCUCUGCGAUGCAUCCCCCUUCAUUAAAAUGUAAAAUAAAUUAAUGUAAUGUAGCCUAACAUAUGUCCAAAUAUGGAGUUAAAAUGUUUAAUUUGACUCAAGUGUGUGUCCUUGACAUGCAUACAAUACUUUAUAUUAACCUAUCUUCAGGUGACAUCUUAUCUUAUCUGGUGACCCACACUUGUUUAGCUAUAGUAUGUGCUCAGGCACAAUCUUUCUCCCUAACGCAGCCCUAAGUCAUCUUCUCUGUGGCUUAAUCAGGUAUUGGAUUGAUUUUGUUUCCGCAAUGUCCUCCAUCAGUUUGGAAGGGUUUAUUGCCAGCUUCUGUUCACUUUUGAGCGGCCAAAUAUUUACACUUGCGGUAAAGCCUGUAACAAAAUGCUGGCUUUAACACUACUGGAGUGACACUAUGGCUGGCUAUGCAUGCAUCACCAUACAGGACACGGCUUGCUGAGAACUAGUUCUUUAGCGUGAAAAUGUCAUCAGAGAAUCAACAAAUAUCUGGAACGAGGUGAAAUGUAGAAUGAAAUAACUCCUUCUAAGCCCACAGAAUAAUUAGAAUCUUACUCUCAUGUGAGUGUACAUGAUUUAAAGCAAAUUUUUGAAAUAUGUUUAGAAUCAUGUACUUUGGCUCAUGGGAGUCAUUUAAAAAAAAUAUUUUGUCAUUUAAUGGGAUGUGACUUAAUGCCAUUCAGUGAGUGAUCAAAUGUUAUUUUGAGAGAGUUAAUCCUUGUUUAGUCUUAGGUUGACAUUACAUGUUCAAAUUAAGAUGCUACGCUUCCUCACUGCGGAACAGGUCUGAAAUGAUGCUUAAAUUAAUCUUUAAUUAUUAAUUCCGUUUUUAAACAGGUCAUUUGUUUUUCAUGUAUUACAUACUAAUUGAUGACUCAUAGUAUGUGUAGCUUGACUGUCUGUGAGUCCAAUGUGGGCGAAAAUUAAGUAGAGCCAUUGUACUGUGCUAUUUAACAGUCUUAAAAAGGCACUUGGUUAACCUCAAAUCCAAUGAGAAUAUCCUUUCCUCAUUUACAUAAGCAUUAUCUUUUCAUAAUUAUUUACUGAGGUGAGCUUGAUCCGUCUUUUCUUUUUCUACCUAUCAUGGCCUUCCACUACUAUUACAUUGUAUGCGAAACUAAGCAAGACUCAUUCAGUAUCCUGUUUUCCAACAAAGUGUAUCAAGUUACUCAGGCACAAAUCUGACACAGGAAGUUAACAAAGCGGUCAAUUGUUCUAACAAAUUGAGCCCAUGACAUCACCCACAGGACAACAUUAUCAAAAUAGUCCAGUUUAUGUAGGUAAUGGCUUUUAUUGUGUAAUACUUAAACAUAUUUCUAAAUGUUGUCGUUCCUGUUUUUGCAGAUUUGACCAAUAUGACCAGAGAAACAUUUUAUUAAAACAAAAAACAAAAUUUUUUUUAUUAAAACAAAAAAAAGUUUGGAAAGGACAUUGGAUUGUCAGUGAAAAGAAAAUUCAACAUGCCUAAAUCAUAUAUAUUUACUGAUUGGAAAAUUGGACUUCUCUUUCAGGAAUAUGCCCUUGACAUUUCCUUGAGGCUGAGAUACUUCAGAUCUAGAAUGGCCGAUCCUUUCAGUCCAGAGAGCUGAAAUGUCCAGGAUGUGUGCUGUGACAAAGUGGCGACAGCAGGAAGAGAUGUACGGCUGAGGAAGUGGGCUGAAUCAUAUGAGGAAAGUCAGAGCUAUGUUCUGCACCAGAGGAGCUCCUGUUAACAAUCAAUGUGUCGCUGUGACAGUGGACAGUGGCGCUUGAUGAAAAUGUUGGCUGAGAACACCACAUAUAUGCAAUUAUUAGACUGGCUAUUCCAUUGACUCUGAGGAAGAUGGCAGCCAAGCCAUAUUGAACAAGAGUCUAAAUCUUAAAGAAGCUGCUUUAAUUUCUUCUUGGUUUCUGUAACAUGUAACACCCAUUAUUUCUAAAUCUAUGGGGAGCACAGUACUGAAGCCUCCAGUCUCCAGAGUAAAUUUGGCAGGACAUGGCCGCUGCACUUUCUGUACCUAGAUCAAUCUAUCAGUCACUCAAUCAUUCUGCUGAUUGAUCAAUCAAACUUUAUUUAUAUAGCUUAUUUUAUGAAGUAGUUUUUUUUAACACUUCACAGCAUACUUUGACCUAAAUACCUACAAAGCAAGCCGGAGGCAACAGUGCCAAAACUCCUUGGAUGGGGUGUUGGAUGAAACUUUGGGAGGAACCAGACUCAACAGGGGAAGUCCAUCCUCCUCUGACUGGCUCAGGGAGUUUGUAGGGCCAAGACAUGGUGUAGACAAUACUCAGUGUACACAUUGAGUACAUAUUAUAACUUAUCUCAUUAGUAUUAUUAUAGCUUUUAUUUAAUCUAGUAAUGAGAGCUGUGCAUUAAAAAGUUGGAUGGAAUGGAAAACUGUUUAUCGUGACCAUUAACUUAUUAAAUGAACUAAUAAGUCAUUUGAUGAAA